rnacentral:rRNA from 1 species
CAACAAACUACGCAAGCACGAGCAGCCGCCCUGCCACGUUCCGCGUUGAGGCUGCGCCAAGGAGCGGCCAACCUGCCGAAAGUCCGCGUUGGGGCCGCGCGUGACUCAUGACGGAGCCGAUGUCGGAGGGAGCGGUUCUACUCACGAGAUACGAAUGCCGAGUACGAUUGACUUGACCACUACAAAGAAAGAAGUGGAGCUAACUGCGGUGUACAAGGGGAACCAACGGCGCAGCAGGAGCAGAAGCCGAACGUUCCCUGACCUAGACCACACUAACUAAGAAGGAGAGUGUUC